UACGUAGGCAGCGAGCGUUGUUCGGAAUUACUGGGCGUAAAGAGUGUGUAGGCGGUGCUCUAAGUUCGGUGUGAAAUCUCCUGCUUAACUGGGAGGGUGCGCCGGAAACUGGGGUGCUCGAGCGUGGGAGAGGAAAGCGGGAAUUCCUGGUGUAGCGGUGAAUGCGUAGAUAUCAGGAGGAACACCUGUGGUGUAGACACUUUCUGGACCAUUGCUGACGCUGAGACACGAAAGCGUGGGUAGCAAACAGG
rnacentral:rRNA from 1 species